AUUGAACGCUGGCGGAAUGCUUUACACAUGCAAGUCGAACGGCAGCACGGGGGCAGCCCUGGUGGCGAGUGGCGAACGGGUGAGUAAUACAUCGGAACGUGCCCGGUCGUGGGGGAUAACGUAGCGAAAGUUACGCUAAUACCGCAUACGAUCUGAGGAUGAAAGCGGGGGACCUUCGGGCCUCGCGCGAUCGGAGCGGCCGAUGUCAGAUUAGGUAGUUGGUGGGGUAAAGGCCUACCAAGCCGACGAUCUGUAGCUGGUCUGAGAGGACGACCAGCCACACUGGGACUGAGACACGGCCCAGACUCCUACGGGAGGCAGCAGUGGGGAAUUUCGGACAAUGGGCGCAAGCCUGAUCCAGCCAUUCCGCGUGCAGGACGAAGGCCUUCGGGUUGUAAACUGCUUUUGUACGGAACGAAAAGGCUCUGGCUAAUACCUGGGGCUCAUGACGGUACCGUAAGAAUAAGCACCGGCUAACUACGUG
rnacentral:rRNA from 1 species